rnacentral:tRNA from 1 species
UGCAUCGGCCGGGAAUCGAACCUGGGCUGCCCGCGUGGCAGGCGUGCAUUCUACCACUGAACCACCGAUGC